GGAGGGCUGUAGCUAAGUGGUAGAGAAUCUGCUUCACAUGCAGGAGGUCGCAGGUUCAAAUCCUGGCAUCUCCA